ensembl:lncRNA
CCUAUUUUAAAAGGCUUUUCUUGUGAAGUAAGAGAAAUAUGGCUGGUAACCACAUCACAGGGGGUAAUUGCAGUUUGGCAGGUGUGUCAUAAUGAGCAGAGAUAGAGCUCCCAACAGGAUGCAAAUGAAUUUUGGCCCCGGGCUCUUCCAGCGCGAUGCAUUCAAGUCAAUUAAGACUCUGCCACUUUCUACAACAGGGGUCAGAUUCCCUACAGAUCAUCCCAAUAUGACAUGAAAGAUCUAAGAGAGCAGCUCGGCGUGUCAAAACUUGACGCGAGCCGGGGUGGCGAUGAAAAGGAAGAGUUGGAUGAACUUUGAUAGACAUCAGAAAUCUGGGAAACAAAAACAAGGUCUAAUUCUGCCAAGAAAGAGGAAGGAUAAAAAAGGAAGGCCGUUUCUUUUGGAGAUUAUGCAAGCGUGUUUGGAUGGGAAGGAGUUCAGAUAAUAAUGAAACAAUUAAAGGCUUUAAGGGCUUGACUGGACUGAUUACGCGGUCACCACACCCCGAACCCUUUCCUUCACAUGAUGCCUCGGGCUACAACGCCACACCCCACGAAAGUGCUCCCCCUCCUGAGUGGGACGGUCUCUGUGCAGGUGGGACAGCGGAACCACAGGACCCAAAUUAUAAUUAUGCUCUUUGAGCACAUCCAGACCUUACCGUAGUAAAAGCCUUUCUCACAGGGGCCUGCGAGAUCCGGAUCUGUCCUGCAAUGAAGAACUGUAUGUGUGUUGGAACAUACUGACUCAAUGAAUCACCAGUCAGCUUUAUUUACAAGAAACUGUCAUGCUUUUGAAAAUGAAACAAUAACUUUAGAUACCAGCUUAUUAUAUCCUUUCAUGCUGCGUAACAAUUUUCCAGCUUUCCAUAGUUGAACGAACUUGUGUUCAUUCUUUAAACAACGUAAACAUUCAUCUAAAGCCACAGAGCACAUUUUAUUAUCACAUGUGACAAUGUUGCAUGUAAAUACAUUUGUGUCACCCUGGAGCAUAAAAGCAGUCUUUAGUCGCAGGGGUAUAUUUGCAGCAAUAGCCAAAAACCAAUACAUUUCAAAAUUAUCAAAAUUAUCCAUUUUUCUUUUAAGCCAAAAAUCAUUAGGAAAUUAAGUCAAGAUCAUGUUC